UCUCGCAGUAAGGUCCCGGCAUAGUCACCUACCCUGUGGCAAAAGUCCCCACACUCCCCUCAAAAUGGAUGUGUUUUGGCCGGCCACAGCGCCUGAAGAGAGACAGAGACAUCUGUUUCUGUAUGAAAAUGUAAAUGUGUUCCUUGAGCUCACAUUUAUGUGUUGUGGUGUCUGACUAGGGACAGUGGAACUGAUCUUCAGCACUCACAAUUCUAAAAUCACUUUUGUGAAGGUCACAGUGACCUUCAACUUGCCAAAUUCAGUGACUGAGUCCUAAUCCUCACUCCCUUUGAGUCGUCUGCACUGCUGGACACAGUUGCUCAGUCACACUCCCUCUGGGAACUCUUUGGUCUCUGUAAUCACAGCGGGCAUCUCGCCCCCGUGGCCUGCUCAUGCCUCCCGGCUGCCCUGGCACAGGCCUGCGUCCAGCACCCGCCCUUGCGGAUGCUCCUCAGCCCAGACUUUCAGGACUGCACACCAGGCCCCUGUUUCUAACUAAAUCAGAUUUUCGUGCGUGGUUGAAUUGUCAUCAUCUCCAAUGCAAGAUGUUCACUUAUUUGUUUGUUUGCUCAAACAAUGAUGAGAGACCAGCAGCCUAUGUUCUUGGUGUUGGGGAAAUAGUAAUUAAAAAUCCAAACCGUGAAGUUCCUGCCUUGUUGGGGCCAGAGUCUGCAGGGGCAAUAUUCCAGCCGAACCCAGCCCAGCCCGGCUUCUUGCCUCCUGGACGGCGACACAGCACAUCAGCCUGUAGAGGCCAGCAGCGAACCUUCUCGAGUGAAUGGCUGAUUGAGGGGGUUUGUGGAGGAGGUAACUGGAAGCCUACGUCCCCGGCGCGUAAGUGGCAAAGACAGGCACUGCUCCCGUGUCCAGAAGCCCACAGGGAGGCUGCUCCAGGCUGUGGGUUCCGUUUCUUCACGACUGACCCCACAUCUCCUGGGGCAGUGGUCAGCAGAGCCUCUGCACACCUGACUGGCCCCAGCCCACUUUUGUACAGGCCACAGUCCUUCGCGAUGCCGAGGCAGCAUGUGCAGUUCCACAGCCGCGACUGGCAAGGGGCCUGGAGACACCGUGCUCGGCUUAGAUGAUCACGCCUGGAGCCAUGCGAGACUCGACAACUUACCAAAUGAGUUGGUGGAGGUCUAAGUACUUCAAGGACAGGUAUGUUAUUUUAUAAAAACUGUCUGUGGCCUCUUAGGCUGUCCUCACAGCCAGCUGCUUGUCCCUGCUCCCACCUGCUCUGCCUGCCCCACCUAGUCCCCUGCUUGCUCUCUCUGGACCCUCCAUCGCAUCCAAGAGGACAGAA